rnacentral:rRNA from 1 species
UCAGCCGUCUCCGAAUGCUUAGAUUAGUUGAUCAUGGCUCAGAGCGAACGCUNUACGGUAGGCCUAACACAUGCAAGUCGAACGGCAGCACAGGAGAGCUUGCUCUCUGGGUGGCGAGUGGCGGACGGGUGAGGAAUACAUCGGAAUCUACUCUGUCGUGGGGGAUAACGGUUAGGGGGAAACUUUACGCUAAUUUAAAGCNGCCGAGCCCGCCACUGUGGGUCUNGGACCNUGAACGAAAAGAGGAGGUUUUUUUAUAUAGACGCCCUCGUGGAGCGNACAAAAUAGCGACCGCAUAGCCNCNCGGUUUUUUUUAAAAAGGCCCCCGAUNAGGCGCAGCGUGGGGGUGGGCACUCCCGUUUUUNGGGGCGACCAAAAAACACAGACACACAGGGGACAACAACACAGNGCGGCCGACAAACCCCCCCCACGGGAGANACAACAACACCGCCGGGAGCACGCCCCCGACGAGGGCGCGUGGCCGGGGGCGGGCCCCUCGCGGGGGGGGGGCGCGCGCGANAAAAAAAAGAGUCGGUUUUUUUUUUUCCCCCCCUGCUGGCUCUUUUUUUUUUUCCCCNCCNUCUUUUUUUCUCCCCCCCCUCCUCGAGCGCGGGGCGGG